rnacentral:rRNA from 1 species
ACGCUCGACACCUACGGGAGCAGCAGUGGGGAAUAUUGGGCAAUGGGCGAAAGCCUGACCCAGCAACGCCGCGUGAGGGAAGAAGGUUUUCGGAUUGUAAACCUCUGUCCUCAGGGACGAAGGACGUGACGGUACCUGAGGAGGAAGCCCCGGCUAACUACGUGCCAGCAGCCGCGGUAAUCUGAGGCGGGCGUGGACGAAGGC